AUACGGAGGAGGCAAGCGUUGUUCGGAAUUACUGGGCUUAAAGCGCGUGUAGGCGGGCGGGCAAGUGUCUUGUGAAAUCCCUCGGCUCAACCGGGGAACUGCAGGGCAAACUGCUCGUCUUGAGGCAGGUAGGGGUGCAUGGAACUCUAGGUGGAGCGGUGAAAUGCGUAGAUAUCUAGAGGAACGCCGGUGGCGAAAGCGGUGCACUGGGCCUGAUCUGACGCUGAGACGCGAAAGCGUAGGGAGCGAACGGGAUUAGAUACCCCAGUAGUCC
rnacentral:rRNA from 1 species